rnacentral:tRNA from 1 species
GGCAGUCGUGGCCGAGCGGUUAAGGCGAUGGACUAGAAAUCCAUUGGGGUCUCCCCGCACAGGUUCGAAUCCUGUCGAUCCUG